GGUUGAUCCUGCCAGUAGCAUAUGCUUGUCUCAAAGAUUAAGCCAUGCAUGUCCAAGUAUAAACCUUUAUACGGUGAAACUGCGAAUGGCUCAUUAUAUCAGUUAUGAUUUAUUUGAUAGUACGUUACUAGAUGGAUAACCGUGGUAAUUCUAGAGCUAAUACACGCGACCGCGGGGGUGCAAGCGCCGGCGGGGGUAUUUAUUAGAUCCAAACCAACGGGGGGCGACGUUCGCACCUCAGAUGGUGAUUCAUAAUAACUGGACGGAUCGUAUGGCUUUGGGCCGACGACGU
rnacentral:rRNA from 1 species